UAUAAUAUGAGGUGUGUAGUAUAAUAUGAGGUGUGGAGUUAUACAGUAUAAUAUGAGGUGUGUAGUUAUACAGUAUAAUAUGAGGUGUGUAGUUAUACAGUAUAAUAUGAGGUGUGUAGUUAUACAGUAUAAUAUGAGGUGUGGAGUUAUACAGUAUAAUAUGAGGUGUGUAGUUAUACAGUAUAAUAUGAGGUGUGUAGUUAUACAGUAUAAUAUGAGGUGUGGAGUUACACAGUAUAAUAUGAGGUGUGUAGUUAUACAGUAUAAUAUGAGGUGUGGAGUUACACUAUAUAGAUAUUAUAAUGUAUAACUACACACCUUGCAGGUUGGCAGGUCUGAAUAUGUACACAUUUUGAAGUCCAAGUACACUGGUGCAAUAUCAACCUUGACAACCAAUCACCUUUUCAUAUUUCUCCAUUUGGCCACCAGGACCUGUUUGACAACCAAUCACCUUUUCAUAUUUCACCAGGACCUGUUUGACAACCAAUCACCUUUUCAUAUUUCACCAGGACCUGUUUGACAACCAAUCACCUUUUCAUAUUUCACCAGGACCUGUUUGACCGUCUGCUGGCAGCUCUGGAUCACUUCCAUCAACGCAUACAGAUCCACGUCGUCGAGGGCAACAACGACAUCGUCAAGAUGACAGCUAACUUCUAACCCAGUCUAGUUGACUUCUCUCCAUCCCUGUCAUUAGUUUAGUUCUGCUAACUUCUAACCCAGUCUAGUUGACUUCUCUCCAUCCCUGUCAUUAGUUUAGUUCUGCUAACUUCUAACCCAGUCUAGUUGACUUCUCUCCAUCCCUGUCAUUAGUUUAGUUCUGCUAACUUCUAACCCAGUCUAGUUGACUUCUCUCCAUCCCUGUCAUUAGUUUAGUUCUGCUAACUUCUAACCCAGUCUAGUUGACUUCUCUCCAUCCCUGUCAUUAGUUUAGUUCAGCUAACUUCUAACCCAGUCUAGUUGACUUCUCUCCAUCCCUGUCAUUAGUUUAGUUCUGCUAACUUCUAACCCAGUCUAGUUGACUUCUCCACAUCCCUGUCAUUAGUUUAGUUCUGCUAACUUCUAACCCAGUCUAGUUGACUUCUCUCCAUCCCUGUCAUUAGUUUAGUUCUGCUAACUUCUAACCCAGUCUAGUUGACUUCUCUCCAUCCCUGUCAUUAGUUUAGUUCUGCUAACUUCUAACCCAGUCUAGUUGACUUCUCUCCAUCCCUGUCAUUAGUUUAGUUCUGCUAACUUCUAACCCAGUCUAGUUGACUUCUCCACAUCCCUGUCAUUAGUUUAGUUCUGCUAACUUCUAACCCAGUCUAGUUGACUUCUCCACAUCCCUGUCAUUAGUUUAGUUCUGCUAACUUCUAACCCAGUCUAGUUGACUUCUCUCCAUCCCUGUCAUUAGUUUAGUUCUGCUAACUUCUAACCCAGUCUAGUUGACUUCUCUCCAUCCCUGUCAUUAGUUUAGUUCUGCUAACUUCUAACCCAGUCUAGUUGACUUCUCUCCAUCCCUGUCAUUAGUUUAGUUCUGCUAACUUCUAACCCAGUCUAGUUGACUUCUCUCCAUGUCUUAUUUUGGUAACAUACAAACAUGCAACUUUUAUUUGUGAAUAAAAAUAUCUCUCCUCA